UGGGGGAUAUUGCACAAUGGGCGGAAGCCUGAUGCAGCGACGCCGCGUGGGGGAUGAAGGCCUUCGGGUUGUAAACUUCUUUUGCUCUGAACAAGGCAUGCCUUUGGGGUGUGUUGAGUGUAGGGGUUGAUUAGCGCCGGCUAACUACGUGCCAGCAGCCGCGGUAAUACGUAGGGCGCGAGCGUUGUCCGGAAUUAUUGGGCGUAAAGGGCUUGUAGGUGGCUGGUUGCGUCUGUCGUGAAAGCUCAUGGCUUAACUGUGGGUUUGCGGUGGGUACGGGCUGGCUUGAGUGCAGUAGGGGAGGCUGGAAUUCCUGGUGUAGCGGUGGAAUGCGCAGAUAUCAGGAGGAAUACCGGUGGCGAAGGCGGGUCUCUGGGCUGUUACUGACGCUGAGGGGCGAAAGCGUGGGGAGCGAACAGG
rnacentral:rRNA from 1 species